rnacentral:piRNA from 1 species
UACUAAGCAAAACAGCAUGGUGGAAAGUC